CGGAUAACGCAUAUUUGCUGGAAUGCUUUAUGCGUCAAAAGGAUUCGUCUGCCCAAGGAUGGGUCUGCGGCCUAUCAGGUAGUAGUGGGUGUAAUGUACCUACUAGCCAGCGACGGGUACGGGUUGUGAGAGCAAGAGCCCGGAGAUGGAUUCUGAGACAUGAAUCCAGGCCCUACGGGGCGCAGCAGGCGCGAAAACUUUACAAUGCGGGAAACCGUGAUAAGGGGACACCGAGUGCCAGCAUCAUAUGCUGGCUGUCCGGAUGUGUAAAAUACACCCGUUAGCAAGGGCCGGGCAAGACCGGUGCCAGCCGCCGCGGUAACACCGGCGGCCCGAGUGGUGAUCGUGAUUAUUGGGUCUAAAGGGUCCGUAGCCGGUUUGGUCAGUCCUCCGGGAAAUCUGAUAGCUCAACUAUUAGGCUUUCGGGGGAUACUGCCAGACUUGGAACCGGGAGAGGUAAGAGGUACUACAGGGGUAGGAGUGAAAUCUUGUAAUCCCUGUGGGACCACCUGUGGCGAAGGCGUCUUACCAGAACGGGUUCGACGGUGAGGGACGAAAGCUGGGGGCACGAACCGGAUUAGAUACCCGGGUAGUCCCAGCCGUAAACGAUGCUCGCUAGGUGUCAGGCAUGGCGCGACCGUGUCUGGUGCCGCAGGGAAGCCGUGAAGCGAGCCACCUGGGAAGUACGGCCGCAAGGCUGAACUUAAAGGAAUUGGCGGGGGAGCACAACAACGGGUGGAGCCUGCGGUUUAAUUGGACUCAACGCCGGACAACUCACCGGGGGCGACAGCAAUAUGUAGGCCAAGCUGAAGACUUUGCCUGAAUCGCUGAGAGGAGGUGCAUGGCCGUCGCCAGUUCGUACUGUGAAGCAUCCUGUUAAGUCAGGCAACGAGCGAGACCCGUGCCCACUGUUACCAGCAUGUCCUCCGGGACGAUGGGUACUCUGUGGGGACCGCCGAUGUUAAAUCGGAGGAAGGUGCGGGCCACGGUAGGUCAGUAUGCCCCGAAUCUCCCGGGCUACACGCGGGCUACAAUGGAUGGGACAAUGGGUCCCUCCCCUGAAAAGGGCUGGUAAUCUCACAAACCCAUUCGUAGUUCGGAUCGAGGGCUGUAACUCGCCUCAGGAAACAGC
rnacentral:rRNA from 1 species